rnacentral:lncRNA from 1 species
GUAUAGGGAAGGGCGGCGAGCUAACGGAGCGUGUUGGUGUGAGUAGUGUUGUUGAUGUAGAUGACAGAUGAAGAAAAAAAUGUAAAAUUUGACAAAUAACCGCUAGGGUGCAGAUGUUGUACAGAGUGCCGGGUAUAAAAGUUGUGACGAGUAAGAAGCGUCUCACACGUCCCUUAUCGUUUCGAUCUGAGUUUCGAAAUCAAAUUAUUUUAUUCCAUUAUUUAAAGAUUCGAACAAGUCCUCUGCUUUCUCGCUACUCAAAUCAAUUGAAAACAAAUAAGCUACAAACAUAAGUUCUGCUCUUCUUCUUUGGCGCCAACAGUUUAAUUUUGUCUUUAUGUUUUUGUGUGUCAGCGUGCCGUCUAAUGGAGGCAAUGCGACUCUUGAAGUCUAUUUUGCAAGCCUUGCAAUGUGCACCCGCUGAAUUUUUACUCCUGCAAAGAAAUGCAUUUCUGUCCGGCUGGGCUUCCAACUCCGGUCCAUAUUUUUGCUUAAAGUUAUUACUCAUUUUGAGUACAAAUUAUGCUGCGUUUUGCAAGUUUAGGCUGUGCCAGACGCCUCCCGACAAUGAGUGGGAACAACGAUCUCAAAAAUAUACCGUAGUGUACCGAAAAAUUGUCAAAAUAUACCUAUAUAUACCGAUAUACCGUAAACGGUCACGCUCCACCAUCCAUUUCUGGGAUGGUCCCUAAGGGUAUUCCGUUCCGAAAAUGUCCCAGGUAUUCCACCAUCCAUCUGGGGGGUUCCUAGUUUGCACGUUCCCAUGCGAUAUUUAUUCAAAUAUUUUUAAAUACAAACGAUGAAAGCG